rnacentral:rRNA from 1 species
GACGAACGCUGGCGGCGUGCUUAACACAUGCAAGUCGAACGAUGAUCUCCCGGUUGCGGGGGUGAUUAGUGGCGGACGGGUGAGUAAUACGUGAGUAACCUGCCCUUGACUCUGGGAUAAGCCUGGGAAACCGGGUCUAAUACUGGAUACUACUUCCUGCCGCAUGGUGGGGGGUGGAAAGGGUUUUACUGGUUUUGGAUGGGCUCACGGCCUAUCAGCUUGUUGGUGGAGUAAUGGCUCACCAAGGUGACGACGGGUAGCCGGCCUGAGAGGGUGACCGGCCACACUGGGACUGAGACACGGCCCAGACUCCUACGGGAGGCAGCAGUGGGGAAUAUUGCACAAUGGGCGGAAGCCUGAUGCAGCGACGCCGCGGGGGGGAUGACGGCCUUCGGGUUGUAAAACUCUUUCAGCAGGGAAGAAGCCACGAGUGACGGUACCUGCAGAAGAAGCGCCGGCUAACUACGUG